rnacentral:rRNA from 1 species
AGCUUGCUCCCUGAUGUUAGCGGCGGACGGGUGAGUAACACGUGGGUAACCUGCCUGUAAGACUGGGAUAACUCCGGGAAACCGGGGCUAAUACCGGAUGGUUGUUUGAACCGCAUGGUUCAGACAUAAAAGGUGGCUUCGGCUACCACUUACAGAUGGACCCGCGGCGCAUUAGCUAGUUGGUGAGGUAACGGCUCACCAAGGCGACGAUGCGUAGCCGACCUGAGAGGGUGAUCGGCCACACUGGGACUGAGACACGGCCCAGACUCCUACGGGAGGCAGCAGUAGGGAAUCUUCCGCAAUGGACGAAAGUCUGACGGAGCAACGCCGCGUGAGUGAUGAAGGUUUUCGGAUCGUAAAGCUCUGUUGUUAGGGAAGAACAAGUGCCGUUCAAAUAGGGCGGCACCUUGACGGUACCUAACCAGAAAGCCACGGCUAACUACGUGCCAGCAGCCGCGGUAAUACGUAGGUGGCAAGCGUUGUCCGGAAUUAUUGGGCGUAAAGGGCUCGCAGGCGGUUUCUUAAGUCUGAUGUGAAAGCCCCCGGCUCAACCGGGGAGGGUCAUUGGAAACUGGGGAACUUGAGUGCAGAAGAGGAGAGUGGAAUUCCACGUGUAGCGGUGAAAUGCGUAGAGAUGUGGAGGAACACCAGUGGCGAAGGCGACUCUCUGGUCUGUAACUGACGCUGAGGAGCGAAAGCGUGGGGAGCGAACAGGAUUAGAUACCCUGGUAGUCCACGCCGUAAACGAUGAGUGCUAAGUGUUAGGGGGUUUCCGCCCCUUAGUGCUGCAGCUAACGCAUUAAGCACUCCGCCUGGGGAGUACGGUCGCAAGACUGAAACUCAAAGGAAUUGACGGGGGCCCGCACAAGCGGUGGAGCAUGUGGUUUAAUUCGAAGCAACGCGAAGAACCUUACCAGGUCUUGACAUCCUCUGACAAUCCUAGAGAUAGGACGUCCCCUUCGGGGGCAGAGUGACAGGUGGUGCAUGGUUGUCGUCAGCUCGUGUCGUGAGAUGUUGGGUUAAGUCCCGCAACGAGCGCAACCCUUGAUCUUAGUUGCCAGCAUUCAGUUGGGCACUCUAAGGUGACUGCCGGUGACAAACCGGAGGAAGGUGGGGAUGACGUCAAAUCAUCAUGCCCCUUAUGACCUGGGCUACACACGUGCUACAA